GGAUGUGAGGGCGAUCUGGCUGUGACAUCUGUCACCCCAUUGAUUGCCAGGGUUGAUUUGGUUGAUCUGGCUGGCUAGGUGGGUGUCCCCUUCCUCCCUCAAUGGUCCAUGGGCGUCCCUUCCGAAGCUGCGUGUCUGUCGAAGAGGAUGACCACCCUGAUAGAGGAGGACCGUUCCUCAGUCAAGGGUGUGUAAGUAGCUGCACUUUCCUGCUAGAACUUCCAAACAAGUUCUCAAAGUAGCACUAGAAGUGAAACAAGGCAUUACAAAUAGCAUUUGGUGAUAUUCUCCCUUAAA
ensembl:misc_RNA 7SK 7SK RNA